rnacentral:ncRNA from 1 species
UGAGACCUGAUGCCGAGCCGAUUGUGGUGAAGUGGAUGAUCCUAUGCUGUCGAGAAAAGCCUCUAGCGAGUUUCAUGGCGGCCCGUACCCUAAACCGACUCAGGUGGUCAGGUAGAGAAUACCGAGGCGUUCGGGUGAACUAUGGUUAAGGAACUCGGCAAAAUGCCCCCGUAACUUCGGGAGAAGGGGGGCCAUUCCUGGUGAUCCGUCUUGCACGGUGAGCUGGGGGUGGCCGCAGAGACCAGCGAGAAGCGACUGUUUACUAAAAACACAGGUCCGUGCGAAGCCGUAAGGCGAUGUAUACGGACUGACGCCUGCCCGGUGCUGGAACGUUAAGGGGACCGGUUAGCUC